rnacentral:lncRNA from 1 species
UGAAUCCUAAGGAGCCCUAACUACACGCGCCCUCAUAGCCGACACCAUCAUCAACACUGGGCCACGAGGGGCUGGCGCCAACCCCUGAAGGAAAUAUGCCCUAGAGUCAAUAAUAAAGUUAUUACUUAUUUUUUCGUAUCAUGAUAAAUGUUUAUUAUUCAUGCUAGAAUUGUAUUAACCGGAAACACAAUACAUGUGUGAAUACAUAGACAAACUUAACGUCACUAGUAUGCCCGACCUAGGCUCAGCAGGGAGGUCCCCGCCGGUCUACAUCCUAAGCACUCCGGGGUCUUGGGCCCAUCGCCCGCAGCACUCCGGGUCGUUGCGAGCAGGGUGGAUACCAGCACCGCCUCGGAUGGCUAGCGCGAUCCGACCGUGCCGCACUGCUGAACUGGACAUCUGACAAAGCUUCGGCUGAUACUGCGACAUCGAGGAACAUAUCUAUUCUCGCGUGGUGGUUAGUGCGUAAAGGCCAAAGGCCAACUCAGAACAAAUACCCAAACCAUAGUGUAUUAUUAGCUUGCGGAGACGAGCAGAGACUCACGACCGAAAGUGACCCCAUCGCCCCGUCUCGUGGACUUACGACAAGGGCCUAGAAUGCCCGGUCGUGCCACGUCAUUAUCUUGCGGGUGCUCUCCGGGCCCGCCCGACUUCCACCAAGGUCUCAAGUAAAGUCAAAGUAACCAUGUGUCCAAACAUCAAGGGGAAAACCCGAGGAAUCACCCCCGGUGGAUUCCACUCAAUGUAAUCAUUAAGGUGAACGUAAGAGGGACCACCCUCGAGGUUCACUCUUGAGGUGUUGAACGACAGAGCCGUAUCAGGAAUGGUGAAAGAGGAAAUCACCCUCGAUGACCAUGACCGAAUAGCUACACUACAGAAUUAUCAUCAGGAGUGCGUUAUGAGGGAUCACCCUCAGCACUCGAUAGUAGCUCUGCAGAGUCGAGCAACAAAAGGGGUGUGAUGUGAUGUGAGGUGUCGGGCUCUAGUCGUCGAUCAUGCUGAUCGAGUCGUCGAUGAUGAAGCAGGGGCAACAAGGACAAGGUGGGGGUCUCUGAUGGAUCACUAACCAACCUAUACUAAGCAGUUUAGGAUAAGCAGGUAGGUAACAAUAGCAGAUACAAAAGCAGGCUAUGCAUCAGAAUAGAAGCAAACAAUAACAGUAGCAAAAUCUAAUGCAAGCAUGAAAGUAUAGAAUGGGCGAUAUCGGGAUGAUCAAAGGGGGGGCUUGCCUAGUUGCUCAGACAAGGAGGGUCGUCGUCGACGUAGUCGGUCACAGGGACAUCAGCAUCGGUCUCGGGGUCUACCGGAGAGAAGAGGGGGAAGAAACAGUAAAUACACGCAAACAUAUGCAUAACAAGACAAUAAGCAAUGCUAGAGGUGAUCUAACGUAGCAUCAGGCGAUACUGGCAAAGGGGGGAAACAUCCGAGAAAGUUUUCCCGGUUCCGGAUGUCUAUUAGACAGAUGAAAUGGAGGGGAAAAGUUCAACGUUUGCUAUGCUAGGGAUGUGUGGCGAGUGAACGGAUCGCGUGUCCAGAUUUGUCUCGUCGUUCUAAGCAAUUUUCAUGUACAAAGUUUUUCGAUCCGAGUUACGGUUAAUUUUCUAUGACUUUUCAACGUUUUAAUUAUUUUCUAAAAAUACCUAGAUUUAAUAUUAAUUCGAAAAUACACCUAAAAAUACUAGAUGCACCCAGUCCAAUGAACCCAGCAGUGCAUUAGAGGCUGACAGUGGGUCCCAGUUGACUGCCCAGUCAGCAGUCAACUGUGGACUUUGACUAGUCAAAUUUACUAAGGGACCCACCUGUCAUUGGGACAAACUUAACAAUUUUCUUUUAGAUGGAUAAGUUGAGGUGGGGGGCACUGUCAUAGACUAAACUAGCCACUAAUUAAACCCUAAAACUAUCCUAUCCCUAAUUAACUAAACCGGCCAGAAGCACAGGCCUAUGCACGCCAUGCAUACACGCACGGCCAUGGCCAAGUAGCAAGCACGGCCAGUAGCAACAGAAACAGCAGCGUAGCUGCGGGAGUAGCAGGGAGGCACGACAGCGGGUAACAACGGGUGCGCGUCGGAGCAGCAGGUGCGACCAGGAGCAGGGGUUGCCGCACACGGCCGCGUUCGCGUGGCAGGGGCGCGGCCAGGACCGAGGCACGGCGCGCGGGAGAGCAGAGCUCCGGCCACGGAGACGACGAGCGCACGACAGUAGCGGCGGCAAAAACUAGCGGGAGCAGCGGCUGCGGCAAGCGAGAGGGGCAGCAGCGCAGCGUGGCGGCGGACGGCUAAGGCGCGCGCGGCGCUGGGGCGCGCACGUACGCGGAAACUUGAGCAUGGCCAUGGACGAGGACGACCGAGCUCGGGGACGACGGCAAACAGUGACGAACGGAAGGGGAAUGGGGGGAAAUCGGCAGAGGAGCUCACCGCGAGCUUGAUGGCGCGGUCGGGGAGGCUGGAGGUGGACCGGAGGCGACAAAUCCGACGACGAACGGCGGUGGCCGUGGCGAGGAAGACGGCCAGAUGGCGAGGUUGUGGAGAGCUCCAGCUUGAACCAGAGGUGAUAGGCGAUGCAGACGAGGCCGAUGGAGCUCUAGAGCAUAUCCUCGUGGGUCGGGGACGGCUCCGGUCAGGGGAACAACGGUGGUGCGGCCAUGUACGUGCUCGGAUGCUGCGGAUCUGGAGGGUGAGCACGGGCGAGAGGAAGAGGGAGAGCGGGGUGGAUCUGGGAGGUGAGGCAAGUGGGGAGGGGAGACGGGGAAGCCCGAGGCGUCAGGGGAUCUUAUCCCCUCGCCGACGACGCUGGUGAGCCGGUCGGGUGGCGACCGCGACCGAGCGGUCGGUCGAGCAGUAGAAGACGACCGAGGGUGGGGGUUGGGCUGCUGGGCA